rnacentral:rRNA from 1 species
UCGAGAAUCAUUGUCAAUGGGCGAAAGCCUGAACGUGCGACGCCGCGUGUGGGAUGAAGGCCCUUGGGUUGUAAACCACUGUCAGGGGGAAGGAAUAAGGCUGGCGACACCAGCUGAUGACUUAUACCCCAGAGGAAGUGACGGCUAACUACGUGCCAGCAGCUGCGGUAAUACGUAGGUCACGAACGUUAUUCGGAAUCACUGGGCUUAAAGGGCGCGUAGGCGGCUUAAUAAGUUACGGCUGAAAUCC